rnacentral:rRNA from 1 species
AACGGGGCUAAACCAUGCACCGAAGCUGCGGCAGCGACACUAUGUGUUGUUGGGUAGGGGAGCGUUCUGUAAGCCUGUGAAGGUGUACUGUGAGGUAUGCUGGAGGUAUCAGAAGUGCGAAUGCUGACAUAAGUAACGAUAAAGCGGGUGAAAAGCCCGCUCGCCGGAAGACCAAGGGUUCCUGUCCAACGUUAAUCGGGGCAGGGUGAGUCGACCCCUAAGGCGAGGCCGAAAGGCGUAGUCGAUGGGAAACAGGUUAAUAUUCCUGUACUUGGUGUUACUGCGAAGGGGGGACGGAGAAGGCUAUGUUGGCCGGGCGACGGUUGUCCCGGUUUAAGCGUGUAGGCUGGUUUUCCAGGCAAAUCCGGAAAAUCAAGGCUGAGGCGUGAUGACGAGGCACUACGGUGCUGAAGCGACAAAUGCCCUGCUUCCAGGAAAAGCCUCUAAGCAUCAGGUAACAUCAAAUCGUACCCCAAACCGACACAGGUGGUCAGGUAGAGAAUACCAAGGCGCUUGAGAGAACUCGGGUGAAGGAACUAGGCAAAAUGGUGCCGUAACUUCGGGAGAAGGCACGCUGAUAUGUAGGUGAAGCGACUUGCUCGUGGAGCUGAAAUCAGUCGAAGAUACCAGCUGGCUGCAACUGUUUAUUAAAAACACAGCACUGUGCAAACACGAAAGUGGACGUAUACGGUGUGACGCCUGCCCGGUGCCGGAAGGUUAAUUGAUGGGGUUAGCGGUAACGCGAAGCUCUUGAUCGAAGCCCCGGUAAACGGCGGCCGUAACUAUAACGGUCCUAAGGUAGCGAAAUUCCUUGUCGGGUAAGUUCCGACCUGCACGAAUGGCGUAAUGAUGGCCAGGCUGUCUCCACCCGAGACUCAGUGAAAUUGAACUCGCUGUGAAGAUGCAGUGUACCCGCGGCAAGACGGAAAGACCCCGUGAACCUUUACUAUAGCUUGACACUGAACAUUGAGCCUUGAUGUGUAGGAUAGGUGGGAGGCUUUGAAGUGUGGACGCCAGUCUGCAUGGAGCCGACCUUGAAAUACCACCCUUUAAUGUUUGAUGUUCUAACGUGGGCCCCUUACCGGGGUUGCGGACAGUGUCUGGUGGGUAGUUUGACUGGGGCGGUCUCCUCCUAAAGAGUAACGGAGGAGCACGAAGGUUGGCUAAUCCUGGUCGGACAUCAGGAGGUUAGUGCAAUGGCAUAAGCCAGCUUGACUGCGAGCGUGACGGCGCGAGCAGGUGCGAAAGCAGGUCAUAGUGAUCCGGUGGUUCUGAAUGGAAGGGCCAUCGCUCAACGGAUAAAAGGUACUCCGGGGAUAACAGGCUGAUACCGCCCAAGAGUUCAUAUCGACGGCGGUGUUUGGCACCUCGAUGUCGGCUCAUCACAUCCUGGGGCUGAAGUAGGUCCCAAGGGUAUGGCUGUUCGCCAUUUAAAGUGGUACGCGAGCUGGGUUUAGAACGUCGUGAGACAGUUCGGUCCCUAUCUGCCGUGGGCGCUGGAGAACUGAGGGGGGCUGCUCCUAGUACGAGAGGACCGGAGUGGACGCAUCACUGGUGUUCGGGUUGUCAUGCCAAUGGCACUGCCCGGUAGCUAAAUGCGGAAGAGAUAAGUGCUGAAAGCAUCUAAGCACGAAACUUGCCCCGAGAUGAGUUCUCCCUGACUCCUUGAGAGUCCUGAAGGAACGUUGAAGACGACGACGUUGAUAGGCCGGGUGUGUAAGCGCAGCGAUGCGUUGAGCUAACCGGUACUAAUGAACCGUGAGGCUUAACCUUACAACGCCGAAG